rnacentral:rRNA from 1 species
GUGGGGAAUAUUGGGCAAUGGGCGCAAGCCUGACCCAGCAACGCCGCGUGAGGGAAGAAGGCUUUCGGGUUGUAAACCUCUGUCCUUGGUGACGAAACAAAUGACGGUAGCCAAGGAGGAAGCCCCGGCUAACUACGUGCCAGCAGCCGCGGUAAUACGUAGGGGGCGAGCGUUGUCCGGAAUUACUGGGCGUAAAGGGUGCGUAGGUGGCCUUUUAAGUUGGAUGUGAAAUACCCGGGCUUAACUUGGGGGGUGCAUCCAAAACUGGGAGGCUAGAGUGCAGGAGAGGAAAGCGGAAUUCCUAGUGUAGCGGUGAAAUGCGUAGAUAUUAGGAGGAACACCAGUGGCGAAGGCGGCUUUCUGGACUGUAACUGACACUGAGGCACGAAAGCGUGGGGAGCAAACAGGAUUAGAAACCCGGGUAGUCC